AACCGUUCAAUUUCCUUCCAUUAAGAAGGUCUCCACUAUCAUAUUGUUCUCUUAUUAUUCCCCUCUGCAACUUACUUUUGCUUUUCUAUCUCUACAGUCAUGGUUCUGGAUUUUAAUUUGCAAGGAAGGUUAAGAUCGGGAUCCAUGGAUUUUGAAGGAUGGGAAGGUUGGUGGCCAGAGUGGCCCUGUAAAGAGACGAUGUUGAGCUCAUCUCAGUUCAUGAUCCCUUCAUUUCCGUUGAAUACAUGGUAAUUACUUCUCAAACUCUGUACAUGGAGAUUGAUUUUUUUUUUCUUUUAAUUUCAUUUUAUUUCCAUUUUUUUUUUUGUCCACUCUAUUGAGGUGAUGCUGGUUUUUGUAAGUAUGAUACAAUUCACAAUCAAUGGAAGCAACAUGAGUUAAAAGGUUAAGGAUGAUAGACUUUUCUCUUAAAGAGAAGGAGAUUGAACAACUGUGCUUUGGGCAAAACGCAGUUGUUUUUUCAUGAUGUUAACCAUGAUAUACCCAUGGCUAACUAAUGUAGGCCCCAUAUUUAAAUAUUAUUAUUUUGUACUGACCUGGCUGCCACAUGUGCAUUUCCAAACCCCAUUCUACAGUUGAGUCUAAUUUACGAAAAUAGGCCAAAAUUAACUAAAAAAUUAGUUUUGGUUAAAAUUGAGAAUUCGAGUAAAGUUUUGGCCAAAAUUGACUGUUAGGCCUUAUUUAUUUUUAAUGCAUUUAGAUAUACCUUAUAGUCAUACCAUUAUUUCAUCAUUGAGUUCCUUACAACUUUAAUGCACAUUCCCACAAGGUUACAAAAAUAAGGGUCUACAACAUGUAAGAUAAAGGUAGUUCAAUCAAUUUAUAAUAAACUUUUAUCUUUUAACACAUCCUUCCAAGAACUGUAUGACCAGUUAUCUUUU
rnacentral:misc_RNA from 1 species